rnacentral:rRNA from 1 species
AUUGAACGCUGGCGGCAGGCUUAACACAUGCAAGUCGAGCGGGGUGAUGGUGCUUGCACUAUCACUUAGCGGCGGACGGGUGAGUAAUGCUUAGGAAUCUGCCUAUUAGUGGGGGACAACAUCUCGCAAGGGAUGCUAAUACCGCAUACGUCCUACGGGAGAAAGCAGGGGAUCACUUGUGACCUUGCGCUAAUAGAUGAGCCUAAGUCGGAUUAGCUAGUUGGUGGGGUAAAGGCCUACCAAGGAGACGAUCUGUAGCGGGUCUGAGAGGAUGAUCCGCCACACUGGGACUGAGACACGGCCCAGACUCCUACGGGAGGCAGCAGUGGGGAAUAUUGGACAAUGGGGGGAACCCUGAUCCAGCCGUGCCGCGUGUGUGAAGAAGGCCUUAUGGUUGUAAAGCACUUUAAGCGAGGAGGAGGCUCUUUUGGUUAAUACCCAAGAUGAGUGGACGUUACUCGCAGAAUAAGCACCGGCUAACUCUGUGCCAGCCGCCGCGGUAA